rnacentral:rRNA from 1 species
UACGUAGGGGGCUAGCGUUGUCCGGAUUUAUUGGGCGUAAAGAGCGUGUAGGCGGCCAGGUAGGUCUGCUGUGAAAACUCGAGGCUCAACCUCGAGAUGUCGGCGGAAACCAUCUGGCUAGAGUCCGGAAGAGGAAAGUGGAAUUCCGAGUGUAGAGGUGAAAUUCGUAGAUAUUCGGAAGAACACCAGUGGCGAAGGCGACUUACUGGACGACUGUUGACGCUGAGGUGCGAAAGCGUGGGGAGCAAACAGG